UCACGUGUGAGCCGUCGUUUUAUUGUUCUGUGUUUGUAUCUCCAGCCCGGUGCCUCCCGCGGUGCCACAACGCCGCCGUGUGCCGCGCCCCGAACCUCUGCGUGUGCCGCCCGGGUUUCCACGGCGACCGCUGCCAGUUCUCCACGGUAACGGUCCUGUCCAAUCAGAGCCAGGCGGUCAGGAGGGUCCACGUGGUCAUCGGAGGAAACGCGACGCCAGGAGGGAGUUUGAAAGACGAGGACAGAGAAGAAGAAGAGGAGAGACAGACGCCGCUCUCGAAGGAAAAUGAAGUUUUGAAAAGCGCCGAAGAGGAAACAGCUGCACAAAGGACAGAUGACAACACGAAGGCUCGACCUGAAGGCUUUGAUAAAACGACUACUGCAACUACUACUACUACUGCUGCUGUUACUGCGGCGACUGCAGGUCCAGAGCGGCAGGUGCAUGAUGGGAAACCAGUGAAGUCUGAGCAGAGGAGACCGGCCCUGAGCGUGCGUGAGGUGCAGUCGCUGCUCCUGAAGAAGGCCGCGGGAGGCCGAGGGGACAAGAUGGCCGCCCUCCUCAUGAGGCACAUGGAGAAGCAGCGCGAGCAGCUCCGCUCCGUCACCAUGGCGACAGCUACGACCCCCGCCCCGUUCAGAGAGAGGGUCAUCCACACCCACAGGGGGCAGUACACUGUCCGCAUCACUCCAGG
rnacentral:lncRNA from 1 species